ACUCAAGAUGGCUGCCCCCAUCAAGAUGACCGGGGUGUGCCGGGGGGAAAGGGGCAGCAUGAUUGUCUGAGAUGUCCUCUGGACUAAAAUGGGGAACACAUUGGGCCUGGCACCAAUGGGGACUUUGCCCCGCCGGAGCCCCCGCCGAGAGGAACCCCUGCCCAACCCUGGGAGCUUCGAUGAGCUGCACCGGCUAUGCAAAGAUGUAUUCCCAGCACAGAUGGAGGGCGUGAAGCUCGUUGUCAACAAGGUUCUGAGCAGCCAUUUCCAGGUGGCUCACACUAUACACAUGAGUGCCCUGGGCUUGCCGGGAUAUCACCUCCAUGCGGCCUAUGCAGGGGAUUGGCAGCUCAGUCCCACUGAGGUGUUCCCCACUGUGGUAGGGGAUAUGGACAGCAGUGGCAGCCUGAACGCCCAGGUCUUGCUCCUCUUGGCAGAGCGGCUCCGAGCUAAGGCUGUCUUCCAGACGCAGCAGGCCAAGUUCUUGACAUGGCAGUUUGAUGGCGAGUAUCGGGGAGAUGACUACACAGCCACUCUGACCCUAGGAAAUCCUGACCUGAUUGGGGAGUCGGUGAUCAUGGUUGCUCACUUCCUGCAGAGCCUCACUCAUCGGCUGGUGCUGGGAGGAGAGCUAGUUUAUCACCGGCGGCCAGGCGAAGAGGGGGCCAUCUUGACACUGGCUGGGAAGUACUCGGCUGUACACUGGGUAGCUACAUUGAAUGUGGGAUCAGGCGGGGCCCAUGCAAGUUACUACCACAGGGCAAAUGAACAGGUUCAGGUUGGAGUGGAGUUUGAGGCAAACACAAGGCUACAAGACACAACAUUCUCCUUUGGUUACCACCUGA
rnacentral:sRNA from 1 species